rnacentral:rRNA from 1 species
UACAGAGGUCCCAAGCGUUGUUCGGAUUCAUUGGGCGUAAAGGGUGCGUAGGCGGCGCGGUAAGUCGGGUGUGAAAUCUCGGAGCUUAACUCCGAAACUGCAUUCGAUACUGCCGUGCUUGAGGACUGGAGAGGAGACUGGAAUUUACGGUGUAGCGGUGAAAUGCGCAGAUAUCAGGAGGAACACCGGUGGCGAAGGCGGGUCUCUGGGCCGAUACUGACGCUGAGGAGCGAAAGCGUGGGGAGCAAACAGG